rnacentral:rRNA from 1 species
AGUGAACGCUGGCGGUAGGCCUAACACAUGCAAGUCGAACGGCAGCACAGGAGAGCUUGCUCUCUGGGUGGCGAGUGGCGGACGGGUGAGGAAUACAUCGGAAUCUACUCUGUCGUGGGGGAUACCGUAGGGAAACUUACGCUAAUACCGCAUACGACCUACGGGUGAAAGCAGGGGACCUUCGGGCCUUGCGCGAUUGAAUGAGCCGAUGUCGGAUUAGCUAGUUGGCGGGGUAAAGGCCCACCAAGGCGACGAUCCGUAGCUGGUCUGAGAGGAUGUUCAGCCACACUGGAACUGAGACACGGUCCAGACUCCUACGGGAGGCAGCAGUGGGGAAUAUUGGACAAUGGGCGCAAGCCUGAUCCAGCCAUACCGCGUGGGUGAAGAAGGCCUUCGGGUUGUAAAGCCCUUUUGUUGGGAAAGAAAUCCAGCUGGCUAAUACCCGGUUGGGAUGACGGUACCCAAAGAAUAAGCACCGGCUAACUUCGUGCCAGCAGCCGCGGUAA